UGUUUUUUAAGAUUUAUUCAUGAGAGACAUGGAGAGAGAGGGAGAGACACAGGCAGAGGGAGAAGGAGGCUCAUGCAGGGAGCCCGACGUGGGACUCGAUCCGGGGUCUCCAGGAUCACCCCCGAGCCACCCAGCGGCCCGUCACUAGGUGCAAACAAGGUUUCUGCAGUUGAGACAAUCUCUGAAGGGCUGGCCCCUGCCAGUGGCCCUCCCAGCAACUGGAACAAACAUAUAUCAUCCAAGAGGGAUCUGCACAUAGACUACAGUAUCCACCGCUGUCAUCGCAAUGCCAAGAUUUUAUCACUUUGAAAUUUCUUCUGUCAAUUCUCUAUCCUCAGGUAAGCCUGCUAGUUAACAGGAUUAAGGCUCCUAUAAUCUGCUGCCUCAACUAUUGAACCAGUCCCAUAUCUGUUACUUGUCUACCUCUAUUCCAGCCUUCAUAUCCUCCUUUGCUGGGAAUGAAAUUGUCAGUUUUAUUCUUAAAAUACUGAAUGGCUUCCUGUUGCCCAUAAGAUUAAAGUUUAAAUCAACAUUUACCAAACUGUGUUUCAUAAAACACUAGUCUGUAGAGAAG